UUAGACUGGCUCAACAUUGAGUAUUGAUAAAAAAACCAAUAUCAUUCAUUCACUUGAAAACCAAUGUCAUGAUAGGUUUCAUUCCACAAAACAUGAUCAUUAAUAUUGUUUUAAGUUUAAAGAUAUUAUUGUUAAACUUUAAAACCAAACAACUCAAAUCUAUUUAAUUCUCACAUAACCCAACCUAAAUGUUUAUGCAGGGGGGACACUUGAUGAAAUAUCAUCUGCAAUCUCCUCCUUGUCUUUCUUCUGCUCCCGC
rnacentral:lncRNA from 1 species